GAUGAACGCUGGCGGCGUGCCUAAUACAUGCGAGUCGAGCGAACAGACGAGGAGCUUGCUCCUCUGACGUUAGCGGCGGACGGGUGAGUAACACGUGGAUAACCUACCUAUAAGACUGGGAUAACUUCGGGAAACCGGAGCUAAUACCGGAUAAUAUAUUGAACCGCAUGGUUCAAUAGUGAAAGACGGUUUUGCUGUCACUUAUAGAUGGAUCCGCGCCGCAUUAGCUAGUUGGUAAGGUAACGGCUUACCAAGGCAACGAUGCGUAGCCGACCUGAGAGGGUGAUCGGCCAAACUGGAACUGAGACACGGUCCAGACUCAUACGGGAGGCAGCAGUAGGGAAUCUUCCGCAAUGGGCGAAAGCCUGACGGAGCAACGCCGCGUGAGUGAUGAAGGUCUUCGGAUCGUAAAACUCUGUUAUUAGGGAAGAACAAAUGUGUAAGUAACUAUGCACGUCUUGACGGUACCUAAUCAGAAAGCCACGGCUAACUACGUG
rnacentral:rRNA from 1 species